GAUGAACGCUAGCGGAAGGCCUAAUACAUGCAAGUCGAACGGGCAUAUUGAUUUCGGUUGAUAUGUUAGUGGCGCACGGGUGAGUAACGCGUACACAACCUGCCUUAUAUUGGGGGAUAGCCCUGGGAAACUGGGAGUAAUACCGCAUAAUAUUAUUGAGAGGCAUCUUUUGAUAAUUAAAGCUGAGGCGAUAUAAGAUGGGUGUGCGUCUGAUUAGGUAGUUGGUAGGGUAACGGCCUACCAAGCCGACGAUCAGUAGGGGGUGUGAGAGCAUGGCCCCCCACACGGGUACUGAGACACGGACCCGACUCCUACGGGAGGCAGCAGUGGGGAAUCUUGCGCAAUGGGCGAAAGCCUGACGCAGCAACGCCGCGUGCGGGAUGACGGCCUUGUGGUUGUAACCGCUUCAGCAGGGACGAAAUAGACGGUACCUGCAGAAGAAGCCCCGGCUAACUACGUG
rnacentral:rRNA from 1 species